UUGUGGUGAAAUCUACAUAACGUAAAACUGACCAUUGUCACCAUUUCUAAGGGCACAAUUCAGGGACAUUAAGCACAUUCACAUCGCUGUGCAGCCGUCCCCACCAGCCACCUCUAGCUCUUCAUCUUCCCCCGUGGAAACGCUGCCCUGUUACACAUGAACUCCCUGACCCCAUGCUUCUGCUGGGAGCCUGUGUGAGAGCUGCCUCCCACCCAGGUACCCAGGUACCCAGGAGCUACAGCCGAGGUGCCAUCUCUGCAGACAUGCAUGGGGUACAGGGUGGCCUUGUGUCCUAGCUCCAAACUCUCCUGGUGUGGCCCUGGGUGGAGCUGAGAACAGCUGUUCCCCUCUGAAGAAAGGGGAUCUGUCUGAUGUCGGUCAUCUUUUUUUUUUUAAGAUUUUAUUUAUUUAUUUAUUUAUUUAUUUAUUUAUUUAUUUGAGAGAGAGACUACAAACGAGGAGGGGCAGAGGGAGAGGGACUAGCAGACUCCCCACUUGAGCAGGGAGCCCUCCAUGGGUCUCAAUCCCAGGACCCCAAGAUCAUGAUCUGAGCCAAAGUCAGACCCUUGAUUGACUGAGCCACCCAGGCGCCCUGUCACUCAUCUUCAUGGUGGUCACAGCUGACAUGUGUGUUGCACCUGUGUCCCCAGCACUGUCCUGAAGCCCCUGCACACCGUUCAUGUCCUUCAGCCACCUUUGGUCUCAUCCUUACUGAACGGAUGCAGCAGGAUGCAGCAGAAGCCAGUUUCACUAAUCCCCACCCUGGACUGUGGGGUGAAGAAGGAGAGACUCUCAGAGGCUGGGCUGGGGUUUUUCUUAGUUUGUGUUAGUCCCAAUCCCCACAAUGACUUGCAAGGACCAUAGAUAUUUCAUUGCCCAUUUUGCAUCUGAGAAAACAGGCGCAGAGAAAUGAAAUCUCGGGGUAUGUUGCUUCUGGACCAGGAUGAGGGGCGAAGCGGGGAUUCCUGCACGAGCUGGGGGCCGGUGGCUGCUGCAUGGUCGCGCGUCCCGCUGCCUCUGCUGCAGGUGCGUGUGGCUGGGUGGCAGGAGGGGGAUGGGGAGCUCACUCCCCUGCCUCUGGCUCUAGCCCCUGCUCACACAGCCCAUGUGAGCUAGUUCUGGGCUGCCAUGGCUCAAGGCUGUGCUGGGUUCCAAGACCCUUUGAUACUUGGGUCACCGACACCAGCCUAUACAGGUGUUUCUCCCUGCCCCUGUGCAUUUUCUCUCUGCCACACACACACACACACACACACACACACAAAUAUAUACUUGUACACCCAUGUUCAUAGCAACAUAAUUCACAAUAGCCAAAAGGUAGAAAAAAAGCAAAUAUCCAUUGACAGAUGAUGGAUAAGCAAAAUAUAUAUCUAUACAAUGGAAUAUUAUUCAGCCUUAGAAAGAAAGUCCUGAUAAGCUACCAGGUGAAUGAACUUUGAGGAUCCUGUGCUAAGUGAAAUAAGCCAGUCACAGAAGGACCAUGACUGUACGAUUCCAAUUGCAUGAGGUCCCUGGAGUGGUCUAAUUAAUAGAGACCGAAGGUGGAAUGCUGGGGACCAGGGCCUGGGAGGAGGAUGAGGGGAGAUGGUGUCUAAUAGGGAGAGACUCACUCUUGCCAGAUGAAAAGGGAUCUGGAGAUGGGUGGUGGGGAUGAGAGCACAACAAUGUGAGUGUACUUGAUGUCACUGAACUGCACACUUAAAUGUGGGUAAAGUUGUGAAUCUUUUUUUUAAAGAUUUAUCUAUUUAUUCAUGAAAGACACAGAGAGAGAGGCAGAGACACAGGCAGAGGGAGAAGCAGGCUCCAUGUGAGGAGCCUGAUGUGGAACUUGAUCCCAGGACCCCGGGACCAUGACCCGAGCCAAAGGCAGAUGCUCAACCACUGAGCCACCCAGGCAUCUCUAAAAUUGUAAAUCUUAUGUAUAUUUUACCACAAUAAUAAAAAAAAAAGUCAGUGAAGGGAACCCUUCUUUUAAUGUUGAUUAACCGACUCUAUUUCCUGUUUUGUGAGUUUUCUCUUGACGUUCACUUAUACCCAAGUUCCCAGUUAUCUGGAUGAGUGGAGGGGCCAUUUCAGCAAUCCUGGGCAGUGUCCUCACUGGGCCUUCUUCAGGCCCCUGUGUGGGGUCCCUGGGGGUCAGUGGAGGAGUGAAGGGGAGGAAGGUGCAGGAAGAAGCUCUUGGGCAGUGUUGGGAGGGAGGAGCCCUCUGGAGGAAUCGGGCUUCUUCAGGCCUGUCAUCAUAAUCCAGUGGGCUGGAGGCAGGAUGCUAAGGAGAAGCCCUUCUCUGAGAGGGGCCCUGACCCCUAGAAGGUGUUCACGGAACCCAGCUGUCUGGCCUCCGAGGGUCAAGCUGCCUCCUCUCUGGGCCGGAGCUGGACUGAACACCCAGCAAGACACUCUAGGGCCUUAUUCCCUGUGUUCCAAGAUCUGCCAUCUGGAGUCCUGCCAUCCGGACAACUAAUCUCUAAGACAGGUGGGAUUACCUCGUGCAUCACAAAACCUUGGGAGGGUUUCUAGAAAGUACAUGCACUUUCUCCAUAUGCAUUUCCAUCUCUAGUACCUGUUCCAGAGGUCUCAGCCCACAGUCUGGGGGAUCCAGAGCCCCCAUCAGGCUGCAGCUUAGUUCUGGUCAGGCCCUGCCACCAGAGGGCAGUGCAGCCUAUAGGAGGUACUGUUCCCAGAGUUCCUGGUUCCAGUCCAGGACUGACCCCUUGGGAGGACCAUCCCCAAGGCCUUGGCAGACACUUUUAGCUCAGAUCUAGAAGCG
rnacentral:lncRNA from 1 species